rnacentral:misc_RNA from 1 species
GAUGAAGAACGCAGCGAAAUGCGAUAAGUAAUGUGAAUUGCAGAAUUCAGUGAAUCAUCGAAUCUUUGAACGCACAUUGCGCCCCCUGGUAUUCCGGGGGGCAUGCCUGUUCGAGCGUCAUUUCACCACUCAAGCCUCGCUUGGUAUUGGGCAACGCGGUCCGUCGCGUGCCUCAAAUCGACCGGCUGGGUCUUCUGUCCCCUAAGCGUUGUGGAAACUAUUCGCUAAAGGGUGCUCGGGAGGCUACGCCGUAAAACAAACCCAUUUCUAAGGUUGACCUCGGAUCAGGUAGGGAUACCCGCUGAACUUAAGCAUAUCAAUAAGCGGAGGA